GCCUUCGUGGUGUAAUGGCCAGCACGCUCGGCGCGUAUUCGAGUGGUCCGUGGUUCGAGUCCCGACGAAGGCA
rnacentral:tRNA from 1 species